rnacentral:misc_RNA from 1 species
AAAAAAGAAACUUCUUGUUGUGUAGUAGUUUUGGAUUUAUAGAUGGGGCUUUUCUUGACAAAUUGGAGUGGGUAGGGUAUUAUCGUAAGAUUUAUGCAGACAAUUUGGGUUCUUUGCUGUUCGCAUAUUCAAAAUGUGGUCCCUUAUCUCAAUUGAAUGUUUUGUCUCUUGCAAAUGAUUUUUGAUAAUAAAAAGCUAUAGAGACGCUUAGGUUUCUUAUUCUUGCUAAAACGCCAGUUUGAAAGUGUUGGCUUG